AAGGUUAAGCCUCACGGUUCAUUAGUACCGGUUAGCUCAACGCAUCGCUGCGCUUACACACCCGGCCUAUCAACGUCGUCGUCUUCAACGUUCCUUCAGGACCCUUAAAGGGUCAGGGAGAACUCAUCUCGGGGCAAGUUUCGUGCUUAGAUGCUUUCAGCACUUAUCUCUUCCGCAUUUAGCUACCGGGCAGUGCCAUUGGCAUGACAACCCGAACACCAGUGAUGCGUCCACUCCGGUCCUCUCGUACUAGGAGCAGCCCCCCUCAGUUCUCCAGCGCCCACGGCAGAUAGGGACCGAACUGUCUCACGACGUUCUAAACCCAGCUCGCGUACCACUUUAAAUGGCGAACAGCCAUACCCUUGGGACCUACUUCAGCCCCAGGAUGUGAUGAGCCGACAUCGAGGUGCCAAACACCGCCGUCGAUAUGAACUCUUGGGCGGUAUCAGCCUGUUAUCCCCGGAGUACCUUUUAUCCGUUGAGCGAUGGCCCUUCCAUUCAGAACCACCGGAUCACUAUGACCUGCUUUCGCACCUGCUCGCGCCGUCACGCUCGCAGUCAAGCUGGCUUAUGCCAUUGCACUAACCUCCUGAUGUCCGACCAGGAUUAGCCAACCUUCGUGCUCCUCCGUUACUCUUUAGGAGGAGACCGCCCCAGUCAAACUACCCACCAGACACUGUCCGCAACCCGGAUUACGGGUCAACGUUAGAACAUCAAACAUUAAAGGGUGGUAUUUCAAGGUCGGCUCCAUGCAGACUGGCGUCCACACUUCUAAGCCUCCCACCUAUCCUACACAUCAAGGCUCAAUGUUCAGUGUCAAGCUAUAGUAAAGGUUCACGGGGUCUUUCCGUCUUGCCGCGGGUACACUGCAUCUUCACAGCGAGUUCAAUUUCACUGAGUCUCGGGUGGAGACAGCCUGGCCAUCAUUACGCCAUUCGUGCAGGUCGGAACUUACCCGACAAGGAAUUUCGCUACCUUAGGACCGUUAUAGUUACGGCCGCCGUUUACCGGGGCUUCGAUCAAGAGCUUCGCUUGCGCUAACCCCAUCAAUUAACCUUCCGGCACCGGGCAGGCGUCACACCGUAUACGUCCACUUUCGUGUUUGCACAGUGCUGUGUUUUUAAUAAACAGUUGCAGCCAGCUGGUAUCUUCGACUGAUUUCAGCUCCAUCCGCGAGGGACCUCACCUACAUAUCAGCGUGCCUUCUCCCGAAGUUACGGCACCAUUUUGCCUAGUUCCUUCACCCGAGUUCUCUCAAGCGCCUUGGUAUUCUCUACCUGACCACCUGUGUCGGUUUGGGGUACGAUUUGAUGUUACCUGAUGCUUAGAGGCUUUUCCUGGAAGCAGGGCAUUUGUUGCUUCAGCACCGUAGUGCCUCGUCAUCACGCCUCAGCCUUGAUUUUCCGGAUUUGCCUGGAAAACCAGCCUACACGCUUAAACCGGGACAACCGUCGCCCGGCCAACAUAGCCUUCUCCGUCCCCCCUUCGCAGUAACACCAAGUACAGGAAUAUUAACCUGUUUCCCAUCGACUACGCCUUUCGGCCUCGCCUUAGGGGUCGACUCACCCUGCCCCGAUUAACGUUGGACAGGAACCCUUGGUCUUCCGGCGAGCGGGCUUUUCACCCGCUUUAUCGUUACUUAUGUCAGCAUUCGCACUUCUGAUACCUCCAGCAUACCUCACAGUACACCUUCACAGGCUUACAGAACGCUCCCCUACCCAACAACACAUAGUGUCGCUGCCGCAGCUUCGGUGCAUGGUUUAGCCCCGUUACAUCUUCCGCGCAGGCCGACUCGACCAGUGAGCUAUUACGCUUUCUUUAAAUGAUGGCUGCUUCUAAGCCAACAUCCUGGCUGUCUGGGCCUUCCCACAUCGUUUCCCACUUAACCAUGACUUUGGGACCUUAGCUGGCGGUCUGGGUUGUUUCCCUCUUCACGACGGACGUUAGCACCCGCCGUGUGUCUCCCGUGAUAACAUUCUCCGGUAUUCGCAGUUUGCAUCGGGUUGGUAAGUCGGGAUGACCCCCUUGCCGAAACAGUGCUCUACCCCCGGAGAUGAAUUCACGAGGCGCUACCUAAAUAGCUUUCGGGGAGAACCAGCUAUCUCCCGGUUUGAUUGGCCUUUCACCCCCAGCCACAAGUCAUCCGCUAAUUUUUCAACAUUAGUCGGUUCGGUCCUCCAGUUAGUGUUACCCAACCUUCAACCUGCCCAUGGCUAGAUCACCGGGUUUCGGGUCUAUACCCUGCAACUUAACGCCCAGUUAAGACUCGGUUUCCCUUCGGCUCCCCUAUUCGGUUAACCUUGCUACAGAAUAUAAGUCGCUGACCCAUUAUACAAAAGGUACGCAGUCACACGCCUAAGCGUGCUCCCACUGCUUGUACGUACACGGUUUCAGGUUCUUUUUCACUCCCCUCGCCGGGGUUCUUUUCGCCUUUCCCUCACGGUACUGGUUCACUAUCGGUCAGUCAGGAGUAUUUAGCCUUGGAGGAUGGUCCCCCCAUAUUCAGACAGGAUACCACGUGUCCCGCCCUACUCAUCGAGCUCACAGCAUGUGCAUUUUUGUGUACGGGGCUGUCACCCUGUAUCGCGCGCCUUUCCAGACGCUUCCACUAACACACACACUGAUUCAGGCUCUGGGCUGCUCCCCGUUCGCUCGCCGCUACUGGGGGAAUCUCGGUUGAUUUCUUUUCCUCGGGGUACUUAGAUGUUUCAGUUCCCCCCGGUUCGCCUCAUUAACCUAUGGAUUCAGUUAAUGAUAGUGUGUCGAAACACACUGGGUUUCCCCAUUCGGAAAUCGCCGGUUAUAACGGUUCAUAUCACCUUACCGACGCUUAUCGCAGAUUAGCACGUCCUUCAUCGCCUCUGACUGCCAGGGCAUCCACCGUGUACGCUUAGUCGCUUAA
rnacentral:rRNA from 1 species